AGGACGAACGCUGGCGGCGCGCUUAACACAUGCAAGUCGAGCGAGAACCAGGACUUCGGUCCUGGGGACAGCGGCGAACGGGUGAGUAACACGUGGAUAACCUGCCCUCGGCACCGGGAUAGCCCGAGGAAACUCGGAUUAAUACCGGAUAGCCCUUCCGACUCUCGAGUCGGUCCGAAAAGGUAGCUUCGGCCUCUGGCCGAGGAUGGGUCCGCGGCGGAUUAGCUUGUUGGUGGGGUAACGGCCUACCAAGGCUUCGAUCCGUAGCUGGUCUGAGAGGACGAUCAGCCACACUGGGACUGAGACACGGCCCAGACUCCUACGGGAGGCAGCAGUGGGGAAUCUUGCGCAAUGGGCGAAAGCCUGACGCAGCGACGCCGCGUGAGGGAAGAAGGCCUUCGGGUUGUAAACCUCUUUCAGGAGGGACGAAGCGUAACUCGGGUGAAGUAGCCCAGAGGUGACGGUACCUCCAGAAGAAGCCCGGCUAACUACGUGCCAGCAGCCGC
rnacentral:rRNA from 1 species